rnacentral:lncRNA from 1 species
CUUAUAAAUCAUGAAUAAAUAUAAAAUACACAGACCGAAACUUGAGAUUUCUCAGAGAGCUUAAUUAAGGGAUUGAUUUUAUUAUUUACACUGAAUUAGAAACACAACCAUUUCUUCCCUUCAACUAUAACCAGAGAGCAUAUUUUACAGAGGAAAUUUGAGCUGAACAUCCCAGAAGAUCAACUAGCAGCAUAUGGAGAUAAGCCUGGACAGGAGCUCUAGGCUUUACUCCACAUUCACACUCUCCAGAGAGGACACACUCAACAACACAAGUGGAACUGCAUAUGCCAUGAGUCUUAAUAAAUAAAAGAGUGGUCUAACCUCGUUUGAGAUGAUUUUUGGUUUCUCCUGGAUCUCUGGAUACAAUCAGUAAAGAAGGGUCAGCAGAAUAAAAGGACAGUGAGCUAGGGCCUAAAGACCCUAAGCAAAGAAAAAGACAUUGGAGGUGGGAGAUGCACUGGAUGGAAAAGCUGCUCAAGAUGGACGGCACUUCAGAAAGGGAAGGAGGCAAUUCCCAACAAAAAUGCUAACUGCCUGGGCCCAGGAAGCCAUGUUUAAGUCCUAAGUGUGUUUAGACCAGAGAGCCUCCAUGUCUUUUGUUUCACUUGUGUCCAUAGUCUUUUUUUUCAGUUUUCCAAGAAAUGCUACUUGAAACUAUAAAAAUAAUUCAAAUAUUUUAAGCUAAAUAUAUUCUCCUUGCUUUAGUUUCUCUUUUUUCUUAAUUUUUUGUGCCUGGAAGAAUAUAAUUAGUUCAACAUGGUUGCUUAGAGAGACAUUUUCCAGGUCCAAGAAGGCAUACUAUUAGACAUUUAUUCAAAAAUGGGCUCAGGGAAUAAGAAUCUCAAGUAAAUAAUUCAUUAUAUUUGAAAUAAAUGCAACUACAUUAUUGUACUCUUCUAAAAAAUACAAAUAAAUGCUCUUUUUGCAAAAUAUUUGUAGCAUCUGAUAUUUGUGGAAUAUUCUUAAC